rnacentral:rRNA from 1 species
CAUAUCAAUAAGCGGAGGAAAAGAAAAUAACCAUGGAUUCCCCUAGUAACGGCGAGUGAAGAGGGAAAAGCUCAAAGUUGGAACCUGGCUGCCCUAGGCAGUCCGGAUUGUAAACUAAAGAGCGUGAUUCCAGGCAAGCCGGUUGAUCAAGUCCUUUGGAAUGAGGCGCCACUGAGGGUGAGAGCCCCGUAAGUCGACUGAGCAUUUGUCUUUUGUGUUUCGCGUUCAAAGAGUCAGGUUGUUUGGGAAUGCAGCCUAAAGCUGGUGGUAAAUCCCACCUAAAGCUAAAUACAGGCGAGAGACCGAUAGCGAACAAGUACCGUGAGGGAAAGAUGAAAAGAACUUUGAAAAGAGAGUUAAACAGUAUGUGAAAUUGCCAAGAGGGAAGCAUUUGGAGUUAGAUUGACUAGGAGUUAAUCAGCUUGGUCUUUGGACUGGGUGUACUUGACUUCUUACAGUCUGCCAAUAGCAGUUAGUCCUAGUGGAAAAAACCAGAGGGAAGGUAGUCCUUCGGGAUGUUUAUAGACCUUUGGAAAAUACACUGGGAUUGACUGAGGAAUGCAGUAGAUGCCACUAAGGCUUCGUCUAGUGGGUGCUAGGCAAAGGUACUUGGUAUUUUCAGCUUGCUGAUGUGCUAGGUUACUCGAGUCUAGUCGCCUACUAGAACUGUAAUCUACUUUGGUUAUUGGCUUAAUGACUCUAAAUGGCCCGUCUUGAAACACGGACCA